GGGAUUUGUAUGCCCAAAUUCAAGUUUAGAGAAGAAACACAGCAGCAGUAACAAGGCAUCAUUCCAAGAUCAUUCACGAAUUAGAGAUAUGUCUUCUGUUGUUAGGAAUUUACUCCUCGUCUAUGCCAGUUCUCUGUAUUCAAUACAAUAGCAUUAGAUUUUGUUCUAAUCUGUUUAAUGCAAAGACUAGGUUCUCAUUGCUUCAUAUGUACAGGGGAAUGCCCCUCUUAGCUUCUGAAACAACUAGCAAUUCGUUUCGCUCAUACUAAAUAAAAGUAUCCCGAUUUAAUUCAAAUAUUUUUCCAAGGCUUAUUUAUAUGUUUGUUAUCUAGCUUAUUUUCCUGUUGCCUUUAAACCUUUAUUUCUAAGCCUGAGAUUAAUAAAAAAAAAGGUGUAACUAUUUGUAAGAAGCUUAGCAACAGAAAUAAGGAUCUUACCAUCAAUUAACUUCAUAUUAUAUUUUUUCUAUUUAUUUCUAUUAUAUAGAAAAGGAAAGAUGUCGAUCAAGGGCAAAAUUGUCAUUUUGCUCAAAGGAAAAAGUGCCUUCCAUCAUUUUUGACACACACGACAGAGUCUAGAAUCUGCUCUCGUCUUCCGUCUCUUCUAUUCCAACCGAUGGAGGAGUUUCAGUUCGCCUUCUUCAAACUUUCAACAAUACUCGUAGCUCUUUUCGUCUUCUUAUCUAUCUAUUAGAUUUCAGGCAUUAUUCGCUCAAUCCUUGCUCGCAUCUUCUUUGUUUUCUCUUUGUCUUCUUUUCUUUCUUUGCUACUUUUAGAUCUAUUUAACUGUUUUCAAUUUCAUGGAUAAAUUUCCUUGGAUUUUGUAUUUUCCAACCAGAUGAUGCGGAAUUACCAUUUUAAGGGCUAUUCUCCGUCCAAUUUCAUUGAUGUUGCCUUCUUCUUGCUGAUUCACCUCUAUCUCUUCUUCUUCAUAAGGUAUUGAAAUUUAUUGUUCUACUAACUUAAAACAAAAAGGAUAUUUAAUUUUACUCCUAAUUCAUGUUGUUCUUCCUUUUCUUUACAUUUUUUGUAUAUGUUAUAUUUCUAUGAAUUGUGAAUCGCGAGUAUGUUUUCAGGCUCUUCUUAACUGCCUCUGCGCACACCCCUCACUCUCCAUAGCCGAGGAAAAGAACAGUAAGAACUCAUGAUAACCUAAUUUUGAUAAAGCACUAAAAUUGGUGUAUGGGUUGAGAUUGAAAUAAAGUGAAUGAAUUAAGUCAAAUGGCUAUUGGGAAAAAUUUAUGCAUAUAAAUUUCUAUUGACAGAUUUUAUUCAUUAUUUCAUGUCUUAGGAAUGCUUAAUUAGGCUUAAGAUGAUUUGGGAACUUUUCUUAAAAGUUGUGUUCGAGCAACAUCUGAUUGUUUAAACUUAAAUUCAUUUAUCUGGCUACAAAUUUAUGGAAUAAGGAAGGUAUGUUAAAGGGCAUGUAAUGGGAUUGCUUUAUAUGAUGACUCAUUGUUGUUGAUGGGAUUUGAAAGUAGAGGAAUAUUUAAAAGUAGAGGAGUAGGAAGUAGAGCACCGAGGAUUGAUAAAGAUUGUAUGAAGUUGCAAGACACUAAUGGUCCAGAAAAAGGACGAGAAAAUAGCACAGAUAUCCAAAACUUUAAGAAGCAGACAAGAGGAAUAGAGAUGUAAGGACAUGUAUAAGAGGAUACCUAAGCCAAGGAAGUAGCUUAAUUUUUUUUAUUUUUUUAUUCCUUGUUUAUUGGCAUCCACUGAUACAAUGUGUGUUCAACUAUAAAUUAUAGUUGUUUGUCUUAUUGGAAAUUCUCAUUCACCCAUCUUUAAGCCUAAUUUGUCUUAUUUUCUACUGAUAUGUCCAUGUCUUAUUAUCAACAUAUGUUAUCUUCACCUAUACUUUCUUAUUAUUCUCUACUUUUAUGCAAUUUUAUUAGAAUAUUCUUUAAGUUUGUAUUUUAUUAAGAUAUUUUGUCCAAAAGUAUAAGUGACGGAUGGAUCUUUCCAUCUUGCAUACUUGACUGAUUGAUUCACUUGGUUACUUCUUGACAAUUGGUUUUUUCUCCUGUUAGUUCAGUACCGAAUGCAUAUGGAUUAUCAGGUUUGUAUAUUUAUCAGUGGAAAAUAUUAUUGCAUUCAUAAAUACACUUUGUUUUAACAUAAAUAUAGCAUGUAUUAAAACAUUCUUCCAUGAUGAUUACUUUCAACUUUUACAAAUUAAAACUAUUACAGGAACCUAGAAAAAGGAUUAUUUUCAAGGUCAUGAAAGAGUACUCAAAGGUCCUCCUCCAUCACUUCAAGUGGCAAAGGCUGUGAACUAUUUAACUUGGUACCCUUCUUUUUAUCCAUCAAGGCCUCUACAUGCUGCUCUUUACUUCCUUUUUGGGUGUAAGUUUUUUUUUCUUCAUAUUUAUGUUUAUCAUUGUGAUUAUUGAUGGUAAGGCCCAGCUCUCUUCGCAUUCAGUUUCUUAAAUCAAUUGGUGUGUUUGCUUUUGUGCUUUUAAUUUAUUUCAUCACUUUCAAGUUGUAGUUACAAGUUCAAAGAUCAAUUGAUUUUUUUUUAAUAUUCCGGAACAUAUGAUGACUAAUAGCUUGUUUGGCCAAGCUGCAAAAAUUAACUUAUUUUGAGAAGUGUUUUUUCUCAAAAGUGCUUUUUUCAAAAGUAUUUUUUGGUGAGAAUCAGUUUGUGUUUGGCUAAUUAAUUUGAAAAGCACUUCUGAGCAGCAAUUAGUAUUUGGCCAAGUUUUUAAAAACUGCUUCUAAGUGUAUUUUUCUUAAAAGUGCUUUUCAAAAAAGUGCUUUUGGAGAGAAGCUACUUUUUUCUGCUUCUCCAAAACUGCUUCUGCUUCUCCUCAAAAGCACUUUUCUUUCUUCAAAAAGCUUGGUCAAACACUUUAACUUUGAAAAAAAAGUACUUCUUUUAAAAAGAAAAGUGCUUUUGGCUUUGGAGAAGCUGGGCCAAACAGGCGAUAAGUCUAGCAUUCAAAAACUUUCCUCUUAGUUAGAAAAGGUAGUAUUGUAAUGCAUGAAAUAACUGGUGAUCGAGGAGGUUUUAUAUUCAUACUUUGAAAGUUCUAGCUUUGAUAUUGCCUAUUAUUUGUGGCUACAAGAGUUGCUUUAAUUUUUAUUUGGCUGAAUAGGUAGGGUGAUUUAUGAUACAAUAACAUGUCGUAGUAUGUACACUUUCGGAAAUAAGUACUUCGUAAAAUUGUACUAUUGUUAGGUAUUGAGUUUUAUUUGUGAAUUGAAGUAUAUAACUCUUUCGCACAGUGUAUUAAUACCAUGAGAUAUUUUUCCGUUCUAUGAGUUUAUCUACUAAGAUUAAGGACAAAUAAAAUAAGAAAUCAAGGAUAGUUUUGCAUAAUUAUUGUAGUGUAUUUGGUAACAGUGGCAUGGUAUAACUUUGUUUGUUUCCUUGGUUAUAAGUCUUUGCAAAUUAAAUAUAAUGUACUACAAAUGUAUUUAUAAAAAAGUGCAAUUUAUGCAAAAAGGGUGACAAGAACAAACCAAAAUUUUGAGGAAAAAAAAAAACAUAUUACCUAGGCUGAGUGCCAUUUCAAACAUAAGGUGCUCUUGCAGAUAGAAUAACACAAAAACGUCAUUAUUGUUACUUAGUUGAUCAACCAUUAGAAGUUUGUUGAUUGACCGUUGUUUGGGAAGUUCUAGAAUAAGUACCAUCUUGAGCUAACUAUCUUGAACACAAUUUUAUGUUUGAUUAUAUCUUCUUCAGUAUUUCGUGAACUCUAAAUUAUUUUCAUUGUUGACUCUGGUAGAAAUUGAUUAUUCAUCAAUGGGAGAUUUAAAAGAACCCCAUGACUGAGGUAUGUAUUAGGUCUUGAGCACUACCAGCUUACUCAAUAUAUUUAGAUAUAAAGAAUGUGUUUUAUUGUAAUUGUCUUGAAGAGUUUGUACUUGAAUUAAACUAUCUACUCAGUUUCCUUUCGAUAUUUGACUUAUGGAACUUCAGUUUGAUACUUUAUGUGAUAAAUACAGUCAAUAAAUCAAUCUAUCUAUGUCUUGAAACAGAGAAGAAACUUUUCAAUUAAGGUUUGUGAAGAAAAUGAGAAAAGCAAAGUGGAUCACUUUUUUAUAUUUCCCUUUUCGUGUAUUAGAAAAUUUUAUUAUUGACAAAGACCACACUAAGAUAAUGCUGAGAUGACAUAAAAGAAAUAUUAAUAUCAGUCCAUAUUUAUUCUUGCAGUGAUGACAAAAAAUAUAUCAAUGUAUUUACUUCAUAUCCUUAUAUGUUCUUUAUAACGAAUGAACUUUUUGUGUCACUUAAUAGUCAUAUGAUAUUAAUGUAUCUUUUUCUUUUAUAUGAGGGAAAGUAAAAUGCAUUGACCAACUUUUCUGGACAUCAUUUGCAUUUCACAUAAGUUGUGUCAGCAUUAGCUUAUCAAAGAAAACAUAAGGCUUAGCAUUUUUUCGAUUUUUUCGUUAAUUGUUAGGUGGUUAAAUCUUAAUGAUAGGAAGAUCCUAUACUGUUUUGAUAAAAUAUUAUAUUUGAUGUAUCUUUAGAUUGUAGUAACAGUGUCUUGCUAUAAAAGGCCAUAAUUUGACUCUUGAGUAUAGUAUUUUUCGAGUAGUUUAUUUGUGGUGAUCGCACUUAUCUCUUUAUGUCGUGAUAUUUUUCAAUUCUUGCUAUCAUUUAAUAUUUUCUAUCUCUAAAUAUUUGACUUCUUAUUCUCUACUUGGAAUAGGACAGGUUGUCUGAAGAACACAUAGUAGCAGAUGUAUGAAUGCAAUACACAAAAUAUUUGCCAUACUUUAUGUGGCUCUUAGUUGGACUAUGUUCUCUUUUGUUUAUAGUACAAACACGGAUAGCAACUGAUAUAUUUAGUUGAUCACGUAGCAUAAGAUAGUGGGUAGAAAACGAUGAAGAAAUAAGGCGUACUUGAGCUUGAGUUUGAUUUUGUAAGUAUAUUUAAAGGAAGUUGAAGAAAAGGAAAUAUUUAGCUCAAUUUUGAUAAAUCUAGGGAAGCAAUAUAUAUUGUUNNNNNNNNNNNNNNNNNNNNNNNNNNNNNNNNNNNNNNNNNNNNNNNNNNNNNNNNNNNNNNNNNUAGCUAUAUUGUCAAUUGAGAAACACUCUUUAGAAGAAAUUGAUUAUAAGAAUAUUAUUAAUAACUUUGCAGCUAAAAAAAGCUAGAAAAAUAGAGUUCACAUAAAAAAAAAUUAAAAAGUUAAGGCUAUCAUAAAGUUUGGCUUUAGACCACAAAAAUCAUCGGACUGGCCUAAUUCUAAACCUUUAUAGUUUUGUAGGUUCGCUAUGUGAAUGCGAUAUUAGACAAGAACAAAACGGGAUCAGAAUUCAAAUUGUUGGGCCCGUGCUAUGCACGGGCAACACUUAUCUAGUACUUAAUAAGUAAGAUUCUUUUUCUUUUGUGAAAAGACUUGGGCACUAUAGGGUUGUGACUUAUCAUCUAUGAUUUGAUGAUUGAGAACUAAAGCAAUCUUUUUGCCCAAUUAACCUUUUGGCUUAGUUGAAGGAUCAAACAUAAGCAGACUAGUUGAGUCUGGUCUACCUGCUGGUAUCCGCUGUUUGUAUAUGAAAAUCCAGUUAACAGCAAUUCAGGCUCUAACCCAAUUCACUUCACUUGGUAAAGAGAGAAUACAAGAAUUAGGAGAAUCACAGUUAAUUCACAUUUCUGUCAGAUCAAAUCAUUAGGGAUGGAAGUUGGGGAUUAUGGGGAAAGGUAAAUUGAACCUAAUCCAUUUUGUUUGACUUUGAAAAUACAUAUGCCGCAUGAUAUUAGCCAUCUAGACAUUCUGAUGUUAUCACAUAUAUAACAGAACAACAAACGCAAGAUGUGCAAAGGAUAAAACAUCCUACUGCAUCACAAAUGUUCUAGGUUAUGUUAAUUAUGCUAUUCGGACACUGAAAACUCAUGUACAUGUGGUACACAUUUUCGACAGACAGAACUAGUCGCUUGCACAACAGGCUGCAAGGGAUAGACACAAUCAAUUUUAUAAGUUUUUUCUAUAUUAGUUCAUAAUUCACUUCAUUAGGUACCAUUGUCUUCUCAUUUUGUAGUCCAUCUGUUGAACCAACUUUCACUAUCUUCUGGGAAUCAGGAAUAGAUCCCGCAAACUGCAUAGUUAUUUAUAUGCUGCAAUAUUACUAGGAGAGAGAUAUCAUUUAUGAAAAGUCAAGAAAUUUAAAUGUCGGGGACUUCAGAAAGAAUCAUGUCUCUAUCUUUCGUACAACUUAAGUCAGUAAUUCCACUGAUAAAAAAAAAGAAAGAAGUAAAGCAGUUCACACAGCACUCAAAGAUCAACAAACAUUAACAAAAAGCACAGUACCUCGUCUUAACAUCCUUCACAUAUCCGUAGGUGCUAUAAUGACAUUUAAGCAUAUAAAAGAACCACGUGUUAUUCGAACAACCAUAGGACCUUUCAUUGAAAUCCCUUUUUCACCUUUUCCAUAGGAAGGCUCCUCCUUCAAUGUCCUCGCUUCAUUGACGUCUUUAACACGUCAUUGUUAAAGAAAGGAAAAAGUUGCUUAUAUGACACGAAGGUUACUAGAUGAGAAGCUUAGAACAUAGAUACUUCCGCGCAUGCUUGACUUAGAAUAACUGCAAAUUAGUAUUCAUAGUUUUUUCACUGCAGAGACCAAUCUCAUAAAGGAAUUUACCAACAAUUUGGACGAGCUUCCUCAACUUAAAAGAGUAUAGAAGGAUGGAGAAAAGCCAUUGCACAAAAAGCGGCUCAAUGUGCAAGUAGAUUAAAUAUAGUAGAACGAAUCUAUGAAUUUAUUGAUUUUGAAUAGCAAACAAGCAAUUGUAAACCCUUGCAUAAUGGGGAACAAAAGAUAAUCAAGUUUAAAGUAAACCAUUGCAUUACGACAUCGCUGUGAUUAAAAGAAAACUAAUUAAACAACGAAUGAUCUUUCAAAUUUGCCUCAAAAUUUACCUUCAAAAAGAAGAAACGCAAAAGACCAUGGAGUGAUAAAUGUUCCUAAUGUAAUAUGUGUGAAUUUCACAAUAACAUCAUGAUAAAAGCUAAACAAUCAAAUUAGGGAAUAAUAACACGCCUAUCGCCGUCAGCUAAAUUUGGGGAAACAGGAAAUAAAACAGAUGAAAAAAAUACUGAAUAGUUUACGAACCUUAAGAAAUCUCGUGAGAGAGCAUCGCCGCCGCCGACCGGCAAAAAGAGUUGAGUUUGGGAGCGAAGCAUCACCGCCGGCGAAGGGGCAAAAAAAAUUUGGACCAUUUCUCGAUUGUGCAUAUCAUCUUUGAGCAGGGGCCAUGCUAAUCUUCUGUGUAUCGUUCCAAACGAACUCCAGUGUUGAGCUUCCGCAAUAUAAACAGAGCAAAAACUUCUUCUGCAGCCCAUGAGGGAGAAUAAUAGCCGGUUUGACCAAGCUGCAAAAACGACCUUAUUUUGAGAAGUAUUUUUUUUCAAAAGUGUUUUAGAGUUUGUGUUUGGCUAAUUAGUUUGAAAAACACUUCUGAGCAGCAAUUAGUUUGGCCAAGCUUUAAAAAAUUACUUCUAAAUGUAUUUUUCUCAAAAGUGCUUCUCAAAAAAGUGUUUUUGGAGAGAAGCUAUUUUUUUCUGUUUCUCCUCAAAAGCACUUUUUUUUUCCUUCCAAAAGUUUGGCCAAACACCUCAAUUUUUGGCCAAAAGUGCUUUUGGCCAAAGGAAGCUUGGCCAAACAG
rnacentral:lncRNA from 1 species